rnacentral:rRNA from 1 species
GUACACACCGCCCGUCACACCAUGGGAGUUGGUUUCACCCGAAGGCAGUGCGCUAACCGCAAGGAGGCAGCUGACCACGGUGGGAUCAUCGACUGGGGUGAAGUCGUAACAAGGUAGCUGUAGGUGAACCUGCAGAAGGAUCA